UCCUUAAAUUAUCAAAAUAUAAAAAAUAUGAAACAUAAAACCUUUUUUGCAAUUACAUGAUUAUUUUUACUAAUAUAUACUAGAUUUUGAAAGUGGAUGGGGUGGGUGGAUGGUAGAGACUACUAACAAUCCACCAUAUUUAAAUUGUAAAUGUUAUUAUAAAUAAAAAUAUGAAACAUAAUUUUUGUUUACAAUUAGAUGAUUGUUUUUUCGUAUAAAUUUAAUUAUCAGUGGGGGAAGUGAGUGUGAGGGAAGGAAUGAGUCCGGGUAGAGGCGUGAGGAAAAAGGGGUAGAAAAAUAUUUAUAUUAAACAAAAUAAAAAAAAAUGAUUGGGAAACGGGGGGAGGCGGGUAGAAAAAGAUUUUUUUUUUU
rnacentral:lncRNA from 1 species